rnacentral:rRNA from 1 species
UAAUUGCGUUUCACUAAGGGCCCAUAAAUUCAAGGUAUGUUAGCUAUCGUUUCUCAAUUGACCCCUUGUCUUCGAUAAGCGCGUGUCUUUUAGAGUUUAAACAUUGCGCAUGCUGUUGGGUCCUGAAAGCAACGAACGUGACCGCAACGUCUUAUUGCCUUUAUCUUGUUAUAUUCUAAUUUAAUUAGGAAUAACUAACAGAGGCUAAUUUAAAAUUAGACGGACCGCUGUACUUUUCUUAAACCAGAGGAAGGUUGCGGCAAUAACAGGUCUGUGAUGCCCUUAGAUGUUCCGGGCUGCACACGUGCUACAAUGAUCAGUACAGUGAGCAUCUCAAUAUUAUACACCGUAUUAAGCGCUUAGUUGCGAUUAUUGGCUCAUUAUUGGGUCUUUUAAUUGUAUUUCUAAUGCGCGCGGUAAAGCCUGCUUCGAGAGUAAGUGGGUAAUCCAUUGGAAGUAAUGAUUUCUCUUUUUAUAGCACACCUAUAUACGGCAUUCAUUCCCGGGACGACUAGUUUCGUCUUUUUUGUGCGAAUGUAAUGUAUUCUUUAUCCGUAUGUGCGAUUGUCAAUUCAUGGUGGGGACAGACCAUUGUUAAUUGUUGGUCUCGGUCUUAACUAGGAAUGCCUUGUACGGGUCUUUGGUUCAACAAACCACCCGGAAUACGUCCCUGCCCUUUGUACACACCGCCCGUCGCUCUUACCGAUGAACUUCUUUGUGAGUCUAAGGGACUGGGUUAAUCUGUAAUUCUAUUAUAGAUAUACCUAUGGAAACUUAUACGAACAAUGUGGUUUAAAGGAAAGAGAAGUCGUAACAAGGCAUCCG